AUGACAGCAAGGGGAGAGACCUGACCGAAAACCUCGGGAUACAGGCGCCGAAGGAGCAAACUGCGGAGUGAAUCUCUCAGGCAAAAGAACUCUUGCUCGACGCAACUCUGGAGAGUGUUUGUGCGGAUGCGCAAACCACCAAAGGGGACGUCUUUGCGUAUGCAAAGUAAACUUUCAGGUGCCAGGACAGAGAACCUUCA
rnacentral:misc_RNA from 1 species